rnacentral:lncRNA from 1 species
AACCUCUUCCUGAAGUGAAAAACAGUCAGCAUGAGCCACGAAUGCCGCCCUGGAAACACCCCGUGUCCUUUCGAAAGCAGUUUUAGCAGACGUGGAGAAGAAGGCCCAUUUAUGCAGAGCUGGCUCAACCAUUUCCCGUUUUAUGAACUGAUUAGAAAAACAGAAAUUGGACAUUGUGGCUUACGUAUAGUUCGCACAUUUUGGGAGGAGGGAGCGAACGGCAUCGCUCAGCGUGUCAGACUGGAGGUGUGAUAUCUGCCCAAUCCUGUUCCGACGUGUAGUGUCAGGUCCUUCAAAGAUUCUGCAUCCGAGCCAAGUGCCCUGGCCAGCCAUGCAACCAUCUAGCCUCUGACCGACUUCCUGUUGUGCCCCUUCCUGGUCCCCUGUGAACAAGCUGUCUUGCCUGGAGUGACUUAGUCACCUGACCUCAGCAUUCCUCAAAGUGACAUAAAAAUACCGGGAGAUAAUAGCACUCACCUCACAGUGUUGUUGCGGAUUUUAAACGAGUUAACCCAUAAAGUGCUUCACAUUCAGCCAGAGCUGUAAAGCUGGCUUUUUAUGAAUGCACCUGUGUUAUUUCUCAUACCAAAUUCUAAAUGUCUUUCGAACAGAAUCUAUUGGUCUAAUUGGCAUAUGUUCUUCCCAGAUAUUAAGCACGUAUUAUGCACUCAUUGAAUAUCUGUUCACAAGAAGAGUGGAUGAAUACACGAGGAAAUUAAGACUCUGUGUAAUCAGAUAACAUGCCCGUGGACAGAAGGGGAGCAGAAAUGAACAGUAAUGAGUGGAUUCAAUGUCUGUUGGGCUCCAGGGACAGAAGCAGGCAGAGGCUGUGGGAGGUUGUCACCUGCCAGGUAAUGCGACUUGAAAGUUUCAUGUAAAGUGAUGAGUUGGGGAUGCAGCACCCAGAGCCAGGUUCACUGCUUGAAUAAGUGCCAUGGCUCGUGUUUCCUUACUUAUGAAAGGAAGCUUAAAAAAGUUGUCCUGCCGCCUAGAUUGCAGCUCAGCUAGGACCAGCGGGACCAGGGGGUUGAGAGAAGACAGGCACAGCCUCAUGGCUGGGAACUGACCCGAGCCGCUGGCUAUUUCUGUGUCUGGACCUCUGCUAUCCUCAACAGCGCUGAAGAGUAGGAACCCAAAGUGCCGCCAUAGAACCUAGUUCUGCAUCCUGGGCAUGGGGGAAGCCGCUGGAGGUUU